ensembl:snRNA U6 U6 spliceosomal RNA
GAGCUAGCUUCAGCAGCGCAUGUGUUGGAAUUGGAAUGAUACACAGAGGAUUAGCAUGGCCCCCACACAAAGAUGACACAGAUCUGGGAACUGGUCGUAUUUUUC